rnacentral:rRNA from 1 species
UACGUAGGAACCGAGCAUUGUCCGGAAUCAUUGAACGUAAAGAGCGUAUAGGCAACCACUUAAGUCCUACGUGAAAUCUUGCGGCUCAACCACAAACGAUCAUAAAAAAACUAAAUAACUAAAAAUACAGAAAAAAAAAUGGAAUUCCUGGUGUAACGGUGGAAUGCGCAGAUAUCAGGAAGAACACCCGUGGCGAAGACGGCUCUCUGGAACGCAACUGACGCUGAGACGCGAAAGCGUAAGGAGCAAACAGG